rnacentral:rRNA from 1 species
UACAUAGGGUGCAAGCGUUACUCGGAAUUACUGGGCGUAAAGCGUGCGUAGACGGUCAUGUAAGUCGGGUGUGAAAGCCCCGGGCUCAACCUGGGAAUUGCAUUCGAGACUGCAUGGCUAGGAUGCGGAAGAGGGAAGCGGAAUUUCCGGUGUAGCGGUGAAAUGCGUAGAUAUCGGAAGGAACACCAGUGGCGAAAGCGGCUUCCUGGUCCAGCAUCGACGUUCAGGCACGAAAGCGUGGGGAGCAAACAGG